GAUGAAGAACGCAGCGAAAUGCGAUAAGUAGUGUGAAUUGCAGAAUUCAGUGAAUCAUCGAAUCUUUGAACGCACAUUGCGCCCCUUGGUAUUCCAUGGGGCAUGCCUGUUCGAGCGUCAUUUGUACCUUCAAGCUCUGCUUGGUGUUGGGUGUUUGUCUCGCCUCUGCGUGUAGACUCGCCUUAAAACAAUUGGCAGCCGGCGUAUUGAUUUCGGAGCGCAGUACAUCUCGCGCUUUGCACUCAUAACGACGACGUCCAAAAGUACAUUUUUACACUCUUGACCUCGCAUCAGGUAGGGAUACCCGCUGAACUUAAGCAUAUCAAUAAGCGGAGGA
rnacentral:misc_RNA from 1 species